AUUGAACGCUGGCGGCAGGCCUAACACAUGCACGUCGAGCAUGCGGCGGACGGGUUAGUAAUGUCUGGGAAACUGCCUGAUGGCGGGGGAUAACUACUGGAAACGGUAGCUAACACCGCAUUCCAUUAGAUGUGCCCAGAUCGGAUUAGCUAGUAGGUGGGGUAAUGGCUGACCUAGCCGACGAGCCCUAGCUGGUCUGAGAGGAUGACCGGCCACACUGGAACUGAGACACGGUCCAGACGCCUACGGGAGGCAGCAGUGGGGAAUAUGGCACAAGGGGCGCAAGCCUGAUGCAGCCAUGCCGGGUGUGUGAAGAAGGCCUUCGGGUUGUAAAGCACUUUCAGCAGGGAAGCGUUACUCACAGAAGAAGCACCGGCGAACGCCGUGCCAGCAGCCGCGGUAAUUC
rnacentral:rRNA from 1 species